GAUUGUGAGAGAAUCCAAGUAUCCAACAAGCCAUAAGGUCAGCUGCUGCCCUUGGGAAUGACGACGGUGACUGUCAGUGUUAGCUGCAGACUCAGUCUCCGGCCAUGGAGAGAGAAGGGAGGCACAGAGGGCCAUGGAAUUUGCCCAAGAAUGGUGAGCGCAGGAGGAGACCCUGCCCGUUUACCUGUUAUAGCAUGCAAAGCAACACAGGGAGAGCCAGUGGAAUAUAUGCCGCCUCCUCUCCAUCAGCCAUGAUUGGGUGCUGACCUCAGCUGGGCCAUGGCAAUGACACACAGUAUCUUCACAGCCCAUUUGGUCUGGUACUUGUUGGCUUUGACAUCCACAAUACUUGAUAAGAGUUUUUGUCCUUAAA